UACAGAGGUCUCAAGCGUUGUUCGGAUUCAUUGGGCGUAAAGGGUGUGUAGGUGGCGCCGUAAGUCGGGUGUGAAAUUUCGGAGCUUAACUCCGAAACUGCAUUCGAUACUGCGGUGCUUGAGGACUGGAGAGGAGACUGGAAUUCAUGGUGUAGCAGUGAAAUGCGUAGAUAUUGUGAGGAACACUAGUGGCGAAGGCGAGACCUCUGGACAGUUCCUGACGCUGAGGCACGAAGGCCAGGGGAGCAAACGGG
rnacentral:rRNA from 1 species